CUUUCUUUGGGUGGACAUUCAACGUGAUUAGUGGAUUUGACUAUAGCAACAUCCAAAUCCUAAUAAUAGCAAACAAUUAUUCAAAUAAUCGCGAAAUUGAUUGAUGAAAAAAGAGAAGAAUCAAAGGGAGGGAGGGAUUACCGCGUAAUCGCUAUUGACAUGGGCGAGACCAACUUUGGUGGUAUCUUUGACGGCACCGUAAACUCUUCGCCAAGACUGAAGAGUACCCAUUGAUACGAUGCGAUGAUCUUGGCUUUCUCUCUCUAACAAGAAAAAAGGUGU
rnacentral:lncRNA from 1 species